GAGUUUGAUCCUGGCUCAGGACGAACGCUGGCGGCGUGCCUAACACAUGCAAGUCGAGCGAUGAAGCUCCUUCGGGAGUGGAUUAGCGGCGGACGGGUGAGUAACACGUGGGCAACCUGCCUCAAAGUGGGGAAUAGCCCUCCGAAAGGAGGAUUAAUACCGCAUAACAUGAAGGAAUCGCAUGGUUUUUUCAUUAAAGAUUUAUCGCUUUGAGAUGGGCCCGCGGCGCAUUAGCUAGUUGGUGAGGUAACGGCUCACCAAGGCGACGAUGCGUAGCCGACCUGAGAGGGUGAUCGGCCACAUUGGAACUGAGACACGGUCCAGACUCCUACGGGAGGCAGCAGUGGGGAAUAUUGCGCAAUGGGGGAAACCCUGACGCAGCAACGCCGCGUGAGUGAUGAAGGUCUUCGGAUUGUAAAACUCUGUCUUGGGGGACGAUAAUGACGGUACCCAAGGAGGAAGCCACGGCUAACUACGUGCCAGCAGCCGCGGUAAUACGUAGGUGGCAAGCGUUGUCCGGAUUUACUGGGCGUAAAGAGUAUGUAGGCGGAUAUUUAAGUCAGAUGUGAAAUUCCCGGGCUUAACCUGGGAGCUGCAUUUGAUACUGGAUAUCUAGAGUGCAGGAGAGGAAAGUGGAAUUCCUAGUGUAGCGGUGAAAUGCGUAGAGAUUAGGAAGAACACCAGUGGCGAAGGCGACUUUCUGGACUGUAACUGACGCUGAGAUACGAAAGCGUGGGGAGCAAACAGGAUUAGAUACCCUGGUAGUCCACGCUGUAAACGAUGAGUGCUAGGUGUUGGCCAGCGAUGGUCAGUGCCGAAGUUAACACAAUAAGCACUCCGCCUGGGGAGUACGGUCGCAAGACUGAAAC
rnacentral:rRNA from 1 species